GUGGCAGUCACGGUCCAGGGGACGGCUGGGGGCCUCCGCUGUCCCUGGGCACAGACGCAAAUCUCCAUCCCGCGCCCCUGCCGGCUGCGGCCCGCACCCUUUCCCGGCCGCCAGGCGUCACGAUCCGUGGUGGGGGAGACGCCCGGCAGGGAGAGGACCGUGACCCACACUUGCACAUGCAUGUGUGUGUGACGGUGUCGAGGGGAAUUGAAAGGCUCACGUCACAGGAUAAGAUCUGGUGCCACAGGGGUAAGUAGGUCACGAGGAAGAACCGGGCAUCUUAGGAACUUUUCUCUCCCUGCUGGGACAAAAUACCCAACACCCAAAGUGAGGGAAGGAAAGGUUUAUUUAGCUCACAGUCUGUGGAGGUUUUGGUCCAUAAUCAGCUGGUCCAAAGCAGGGUGGCAUAGCACUGGGGCAAUGCUUCAAGGCUGCAGAAGACAGCAAAAGGGGCAAGACAAGCCUCUUCUUCUCUUACAUUGUAAGCAGGUGGGUGUAGCUCACACCGUCUCCACACCCUUCUCUUGCACAGGAUGAGGGUGUUUACCAAGUGAGGACCAUGGCCUUUGCUGGAGUCACCUAGUUAAACCUCCAAACUCCAAACUGACACAAUGUAUCAACCAUUACAAGUGGGGAAGCAGUGAGGGGGCUCAAAGAAAGCUGGGGGCAGGAGCCAGAGUCUGAGGGGAGUCCAGGUAUCAAGCACUGCCUCUCAGUGCUUGGCCUCUGCUGACUUUUUUGUUGGGUUUUUUUUUUAUUUUUUUAUUUUGUUGGGUUUUUACUUUUUACUUUUUGGCCUUACUUUUUAAAGUAUUGCCCACUUUGGUUAUUCUCUGUGGUAGCUUCUCUGACUGUGGCCUUCAUUGCCAGAUAACAGUGGGGGUGGGGUGGUGUUUUAGACUCCUGGCUGUCAUUGCCCUGAUGGGGGGCUGUGGCUGCGGUCACCCGUUCACCAAUUCAAUCUGUGUUUGCUGGGUGCCGUCUCAAUGGGAUGCCCGCUGCCACGAGGUACACCAGGAGCCCACGUGCCCCGGCUUCUGCCCGGGGGAGGUCACCACUGUGGUCCACCUGCUGCAGCUUCCUGGAUCCUUUGUUUCCCUGGGGACUCCAUGGCCACGGUGCUGGCGGCCACGCACGGUUGGAAGAUGUACACGAAGGAAGCCGAGCUUUCCAACCCCGUGGACCCCGCCGUGUACUUCUUGACCAAAGCUGCUAUGGUGAGCAGGCUCUACCUCCCGGCUUUGAGCCCAGGGGUCCACAGGGGCACACUGCCCACUGCCUUUCUGGACCCUUCUGCCACUCCGUGGGACCACACAUGCGGCAUGGGGACGCAUCCUCACUGACAGCCACUCAGGAGUCCUUUCCGCGGGGUCAUGAGCGUGCGCUCUCCUGUCCAGCAUGAAGACGGGCCAGGAUUUGGAGCCUGGGGAAAGCAGAGUCACAGGAGGAGCCGUGACCACCCCACCUCGCCUCCCUCCGUCUGGCCCAGCAGGCCUGCACUUCCCGCCACAUUGCCAGACGUGGCUGCAAUCGCAGGUCUAAAUGGCAGCAGGCUGGUGGCUGCAAGGUCCCCUGAGCUCUACAACUCCAUCCACAGUGCUGGCACCAGGCUUCCCAGGCCGCUGUGUCCUCAGACCCUGCCACCCGCCGUGCAGCCCCUCCUGUUCUGGUGCCAGCCACCACUGCCCCUGCUGUGUAUCACUCCUAUGUCCCCCCUCUCUGCCCUUCCUUGGGCCCCAGCAGGCUCAAGCCGCCCCAUCUCCAAGCUGGACACAUGAAUUUAUUUUCAGUACUUAGGACCGAACCCAAGGCCUUCACGUGGAGCUACUUUCCUGGUCUUUUAAAAAAGUUUUUAUUUAGAGACAGGGUCUUGCUAAGUAACUAAGUUGGCUGGGGUUGAAAUUGUGAUCCUCCUGUCUCAGCCUCCCAGAACACUAGGUUUACAAGCAGGCGCCACCUUGUCCUGCCUGGGUCACUAAACUUUCAUCCCAUGGA